UACGUAGGGGGGCUAGCGUUGUCCGGAUUUAUUGGGCGUAAAGAGCGUGUAGGCGGCCAGGUAGGUCCGUUGUGAAAACUCGAGGCUCAACCUCGAGACGUCGGCGGAAACCCUCUGGCUAGAGUCCGGAAGAGGAGAGUGGAAUUCCUGGUGUAGCGGUGAAAUGCGCAGAUAUCAGGAAGAACACCGGUGGCGAAGGCGGUUCUCUGGGAAUGUACUGACGCUGAGGAGCGAAAGUGUGGGGAGCGAACAGG
rnacentral:rRNA from 1 species